rnacentral:rRNA from 1 species
UGCGUAGGGUGCGAGCGUUGUCCGGAAUUACUGGGCGUAAAGCGCACGUAGGUGGCGACGUAAGUCGGGUGUGAAAGCCCCGGGCUCAACCUGGGAAUUGCAUUCGAGACUGCAUUGCUGGAGUACGGAAGAGGAGGGCGGAAUUCCCGGUGUAGCGGUGAAAUGCGUAGAUAUCGGGAGGAACAUCAGUGGCGAAGGCGGCCCUCUGGUCCAGUACUGACACUCAAGUGCGAAAGCGUGGGGAGCAAACAGG